AUUGCCCUAGUAACGGCGAGUGAAGCGGCAACAGCUCAAAUUUGAAAUCUGGCCCUCGGGUCCGAGUUGUAAUUUGUAGAGGAUGCUUUUGGUGAGGUGCCUUCCGAGUUCCCUGGAACGGGACGCCAUAGAGGGUGAGAGCCCCGUCUGGUUGGACACCGAUCCUCUGUAAAGCUCCUUCGACGAGUCGAGUAGUUUGGGAAUGCUGCUCUAAAUGGGAGGUAUAUGUCUUCUAAAGCUAAAUACCGGCCAGAGACCGAUAGCGCACAAGUAGAGUGAUCGAAAGAUGAAAAGCACUUUGAAAAGAGGGUUAAACAGUACGUGAAAUUGUUGAAAGGGAAGCGCUUGUGACCAGACUUGGGCCCGGUUAAUCAUCCAGUGUUCUCACUGGUGCACUUGGCCGGCUCAGGCCAGCAUCAGUUCGGCGCGGGGGAUAAAGGCUUCGGGAAUGUGGCUCCUCCGGGAGUGUUAUAGCCCGUUGUGUAAUACCCUGCGCUGGACUGAGGUUCGCGCAUC
rnacentral:rRNA from 1 species